rnacentral:lncRNA from 1 species
UGGCUGAGCUUGAGAAAGGAAACGAAGCCAGUCAGGAGAAUGCAGGAUGUGGGGACAUUUUCAUGCUGAUAAAGGUUCACAGGUGACGUUAGACAAACAGUAUUGGAGAGCACCUCGCAGAGAGAAACCUGGGACCCUGACAGCCUGUUAGAGGUGGGGGAAGAGAGGUCGCGGUGAACACCAGGACAAUUAGUGUGCCGGGUUUUUUGUUUUUUGUUUUUUGCAUCUGCCUGCCUUCCUCCCAUUUGGUGACCACCAGAGAAACCUCCAUCAUCGCUUGGUCAAAUGAAGCCUGGCAAACAAACCAAGCCUCUUCCCCCCAGUUUGUUGUGCUGUGAAAAGAUAAAGGAGGCACAGUGAACAUCCAACUGAUGGAAUGAAUGCUGACCCUGGUAGGCAACUUGAUCUUUUACAGCCAACCCUAAGAGCUGAUACCUUAAAGCACCUAAUUUAGAGAGGUAUGUGAAAUCGUUAAAAAAAAAAUACUAAUUAAGGAAAACCAGCUACAGGGAAAACUGUGAACUGAGGGUCAGGAAAAACAAAUUAAAUUCAUCUGAGUUGGUGCUAUUUUAGAAAAGCCUAGAAAGGCUUAA